UACGAAGGGGGCUAGCGUUGCUCGGAAUCACUGGGCGUAAAGCGCACGUAGGCGGCUUUCUAAGUCAGGGGUGAAAUCCUGGAGCUCAACUCCAGAACUGCCUUUGAUACUGGAGAGCUAGAGUCCGGAAGAGGUGAGUGGAACUGCGAGUGUAGAGGUGAAAUUCGUAGAUAUUCGCAAGAACACCAGUGGCGAAGGCGGCUCACUGGCCCGGUACUGACGCUGAGGUGCGAAAGCGUGGGGGCAAACAGG
rnacentral:rRNA from 1 species